ensembl:lncRNA
CUCUUUAGAAGGGUUCACUUCAUGACAUGGUUGGUGGUUCAUGAAUUAAGGCUGUAGGUCAGAGGUCAUUUAAACAACAGCCAUAAUGGUUAGACUUAACUGGCUACACACAGACACAAACACACAAAUGGGUAUGUUUAUCAUCUGUAUACACCCCUUUAAACUAUAAACACUAAUAGGCCUAUACACAAUUGUUAUGAUUGUUUUCAAUGUGAGAUUGUCAAUGAUUUAUGAUAUUUAACCAAGUCACAGCACUAGGGAAAUAUGCAUUGUGUUGAUCCACUCAAGCAGACCGUAUUUCAAGGCAUAACUCCAGCGUUCAAUUACAACGAAUAUCAACUGUUUCCCGAAUACAGGAGGAAAAACAAAUGACUGUUAGGAACCAGGUUUCUAAAUGUUUAUUUGAUAUUUUUACUACAACACAUCGGUUCACAGAUAUUACAGCAUUCUAACGGCCGUAGAUAUAUAUAUAUACAGAAAUAUGCAUGAUGUACAUACUCAUGACAACCCUACAGUUCAAGCUUACGCAAAUAAAUGAAGAGGUACACAUUCAGGAGCCGCGGAAAAAAGUGAGCGUGUGUACCUUUAGUUUUCACAAUAUAACACGGCAGCACACAAGCUAUACUUACAUGAUUAGCAAUAUUUACUACAUCAUAAGAUGUCCAAAAUCAGACCGUGGAGAGAUACGGGUGAUGCUAUAUAGUACACACUUUGCCCACAAAGGUUAAUUACGCCGGAGAUAUGAAGUCACUCUCGACGGAUAAAGGGGGGGUGGACGGGGGUUGGGUUGGGUAAGUACUCUGACCAGGAGCUAGCUGAGGAUUACAAUAGAUCACGUCUGGCUGUGUAAAACAAUGACAUAGCUCUUCUAUGUAUAGUUGUACCGUUGCUCUUUUUGCUCUGAAAAACAUCACGAGUAUCAAUUAUGUAACUGACAAUACAAACCACAGACACCGCAAGGAAGCGUGCCCCACCGCGAUCCUGAUUGGUUGGCCCUGAGACGAGAAAAACGCCGGCAAACGGCAACAUGGACUACAUUGACUGACUCUCAAGUGCUGUCACAGUUUUACCAGUAGUAAAAAAUACUUUUACUAUAAUAAUGAAUUAAUUUGUUCUCAUAUAUCCUUUACCUUUAUACAUGUUGUACCCGAUUUCCCCAAGCUGGUUACUUGAUUGUAUCAUUUGUAUGGUUUGGGCCACCUUUGAAUGUGGAACAGAAACGCUUUCAGUAGAGGUGUCAUUUUAGAAACCCGAUGCGACUUGGCUGAGCGGCAUGUUUCUACUGCUGAGGUGUAUUUCUAUCCCCCCGUUUAUUCAGAAAGUGGCGCAAUCCAUGGAAUAUAGCUGUGGACAUACAGUGUACAUUUGCAUACAGGUACUCAACUCUCGUCCAAUGAGACAGCCCCAAAGCUGACCCAACACAAUUCUUAGCUGGGGGCCCUCUAUCCUGAUUGGUUGGUCAGGAUUCUAAAAGAGGAAUCGAAGCAGUUACGCGUGCAGGCAGUAUGGAAGUCUCUCAUUGGCUUAUGAUGCUUUGACACCUUAAGGAAAUGUAUGCUUUAUGCUUGUUUGGUGGUAGGCUAAUAGAUUCAAGCAUGCAUUUAAGUGUACAUUAAAUACAAUUCAUUACAAUUUAAAACUUCAGGGGUCUCACUUUUCUAUUGAGAUAAUCAGAGAACACACAAUUACAAGGGUUAUGAGUUUUGUCUUGACGAUAUGGGCCUAUAAGUCAAUUAUCUCAUCAUAUUUCCUCAUUGGUUAGAAGCCAGGUAGGCGGAGAAAGUUGCAUAUGAUUAAGUGCCAGAAAAGUUGCGCCCAAUCACGGGUAUCCCAGCUAAGAAACUUUUAAAAACCAAUGACGUUCUACCUCAACGGAUGGCCUCGCUAUUCGUCCCAGACUCACUACAAUCUAAAAUGUGUAGUGUGUAGUAAUCAUGUGAAAAGAUAAUGCUUAAGCUUGUUACCUGAAGCCCUAGAGUUAGUAGUUACACAUACAUCAGUAGUACACAAACACUAUUUGUUAAUGAGAAAGUAACGGUUGGUAAGGAUUGGUAAAACGUGGAGCGACUCGCACACAGGGAACGACAGCAUGGUGGGUGUUUCGGUGGACAAUAUUACCUAACACGUACAGUAGCUUUAUUCCUCUAACUCUUUGCAUUGUCGAUACUUCUAUGCUUUACCCCCAAUUCCAAACUACAGGGCAUAUCUAGUUUUUUUCCUACGUGGUCUGUCUAAAUUAACCUUUUUUCGCUAUAGGUUUAUCAACCAUUCUUUUCUAUAAACUAUAGAUGCAGAAGCUCACAGAAAAAAGGACAGGAAUGGACCUGACUUCUAUGCAGUACAGCAUGUGAAAUCAGAUCCAAUCGCUGUCUUCUAACUAGCUAACUGAUCAAGCUAACUAGCUAAAAGAUCUAGCCUACUAAGCUCUAUCUCCUGACGGCAUCAUGGCGCGUGUGUUUAGUAAUUGGGAAGGUCUCUCAGUUGUCUCUCUGUCUGCCAUCAUCUUAUCCAUUUGUAGCACUUGCGCUGAAGUCUGCAGUCUGGUUACAUGCAAAGGUUUUUUUUAUUCUAAGCUAACCCGCUAUAAGCUACAUACAUGCAGAGAUUGACGGAACACAGUCGUACUCUAGGUACCAAACAUCCUUACGAUGCCCCAAUGCUUCCUCACAGGUUGCCUUUGAGACUGGGGUGACUGUACCUUCACAGAAACAGUUACUGGUCAAAAACCCCUACCCGAGUAUAUACUAUAUAUAAUAUAUAGCUAUUAUUUACAUGGUGUUUCUACUUUCUAAUUAACCUUUGCAAGUUGGCCUAGCGAUCAAACUCUGUUUCAGUUCAGUAGAGUCAGGGAAAGUGCCUGUAAAUUUUGGUUUAGUAAAAGAAUAACAUUCAACCAUUUGAUCUAUGGUUUCCGGUUCAUUCGAUUUUGUUGCGAUUGUGAUGGUGAAGUUCUCUUGGAAAACAAACUAUUUCGACAAGAUGACUGAACUGAAGCAGAGGCGAAGCUGGCUGAUCUCAGGACCUGAUUACAGGAGUGUGUGUGUGUGUGUGUGUGUGUGUGUGUGUGUGUGUGUGUGUGUGUGUGUGUGUGUGUGUGUGUGUGUGUGUGUGUGUGUGUGUGUGUGUGUGUGUGAGAGAAAGACAAGUCACCUUCGGGCUGUGUAAGUGUGGGCUAUAGGGGGGCUGACAACAUGGGAUAGAGGGCUUCAUCGUCGUCAUCAUCAUCAACAUCAAAAUAAGAGUUUUUGGGGAUGUGGGAGAGAGAGGCUGCAUGCAGACUGGGUGAUGGGAUCCAUGGACAGGAACAGUGAUUGGUCAUCUAGAAGGAAAGAAAGUGGAGUGAAUUACAGAUCACAUGAAACAGCAUGUCCUUUAUUGUAAAUCUAAUUUAUUAUGCAACCAUUUUUUUGGACUUACAACAAACAUGUGAAAUAUAC